GACGAACGCUGGCGGCGUGCUUAACACAUGCAAGUCGAACGGAAAGGCCCUGCUUUUGUGGGGUGCUCGAGUGGCGAACGGGUGAGUAACACGUGAGUAACCUGCCCUUGACUUUGGGAUAACUUCAGGAAACUGGGGCUAAUACCGGAUAGGAGCUCCUGCUGCAUGGUGGGGGUUGGAACGUUUCGGCGGUUGGGGAUGGACUCGCGGCUUAUCAGCUUGUUGGUGGGGUAGUGGCUUACCAAGGCUUUGACGGGUAGCCGGCCUGAGAGGGUGACCGGCCACAUUGGGACUGAGAUACGGCCCAGACUCCUACGGGAGGCAGCAGUGGGGAAUAUUGCACAAUGGGCGGAAGCCUGAUGCAGCAACGCCGCAUGCGGGAUGACGGCCUUCGGGUUGUAAACCGCUUUCGCCUGUGACGAAGCGUGAGUGACGGUAAUGGGUAAAGAAGCACCGGCUAACUACGUG
rnacentral:rRNA from 1 species